UCUUCAUUUUCCACACUCUUUCACCGGUCAGAGAGGCGAGAGAGUGUGUGAAAUGAAGAGG
rfam:Pristionchus pacificus strain PS312 contig10118, whole genome shotgun sequence.